rnacentral:lncRNA from 1 species
CUCUGCUGAGCUGGCUUUUACAACUUAAAACCUUUUCACUGGGAGGACAAUUCCAAAGUCUAGCAGAAGCAAGCUUCAGGAAGAACAAUAGCUCCAACCCCACCCCAGUUUUUCAAUUUAAGCGAAAAAUUAGCUUCUCUGAGACCUCUCCACCCUCCUCUUUGAAUAUUUGGAUGGGAUUAAGACAGUCAUUCCGGGAAAAGGGGCAUCUCAGAGCCUGGAAGAGAGGAGGCAGAGUCAGCUGCCACAAGCCAGUUGAAAAUAAAACAGAUUUCACGACAGAAGGAAGAGCAUGGUGGCUGAAUUUGUUAGGUUAUGUCCUUGGAAAUUCAGAGAUGAAAAUCAGAGCCACGGACUCUUCCCUCUUCCUUCUUCCGGGAUUAAAAAUA